UACGGAGGGUGCGAGCGUUGUCCGGAAUCACUGGGCGUAAAGGGCGCGUAGGCGGCCUGAUAAGUAGGGGGUGAAAUCCUGCGGCUUAACCGCAGGGGCUGCCUUCUAAACUGUCAGGCCCGAGCACAGUAGAGGCAGGUGGAAUUUCCGGUGUAGCGGUGAAAUGCGUAGAUAUCGGAAGGAACAUCAGUGGCGAAAGCGGCUUCCUGGGACCAGACACCCGGACCGGU
rnacentral:rRNA from 1 species